UAUCCCCUAGAGUAGACUGUUAUGCUGAACUGGGUUAACAAAUAACUGUGUUAUUCUGGUUCGUGCAUUUUAUAUUUCCUUAUUGUUCGUCUAGUUCAGUGUUGAAUACAGUGUUGGAUCAUCGGAUCAAACAUACAGUGUUGGACCAUCGUGUUCAACAUCGUGUUAUUAGUGUGCCAGAAUUUCAGCGCCCAAGCUUGAUAAUUGGAGUGAGUGAGAACAGGUUUCACCACGACGAAAGUAGGACCAUCGGAAGGAUGAACGUAGUAAACAACGUCGGGAUUGUUCGACGGAUCUUGGACGAGAACGGUGGUUGAACCACCGGCAGUGUUGUUAUGACCACCACGAGCCAUAAGAANNCAGAGCUCAGAAGAGCUCUGAUACCAUCAUGAUGUUGUUUAAGAUAACCGAAAACGCAUAGAAAGAUUGAAGAAGAAGAAGCAUAUUGAAAGCUUCGGAAGCAAUUUUUAUUGAUUGAUUAAGGAAAGUAGUUACAAGCACAUUUAUAGAGGUGAAGGUAGCUCUAACAAACUGCUAACAAACUUCUAACAAACUAUAAGCUAGACUACUCUACAUAAGGUGUACACUAAGUAAAGAUACACAAGUACUAGGAAGGAUAGCUAAUGUAUCAAGUAAGUUGUAAAGUGUAAUAAAUCUCAUAACAAAUUCACAAACAAUAUAAAAAGUUUUGUGGCGGAAUUUAUGCCCUCACAAUUAGUGUCAAAUG
rnacentral:lncRNA from 1 species